AUGCUUCCUAACACCUGCUCAGUUCUGCUGCUCCUCUUGAUGCUCAGGAAGAGCAGUGGAGAUUCAGUGACCCAGACAGAGGACCUGGUUACUGUCACAGAGGGGUCAGCUGUGAUGAUAAUCUGCACUUAUCAGACUACUUAUUUAACUCCUGUGGUUUUCUGGUACAUGCAAUAUCUCAACAAAGCCCCUCAACUGCUCCUGAAGAGCUCCACAGACAACAAGAGGACAGAGCAGCAAGGGUUCCACGCCACCCUCCAUAAGAGCAGCAGCUCCUUCCACCUGCAGAAGUCCUCAGUGCAGCUGUCAGACUCUGCCCUGUACUACUGUGCUCUGAGAGACACAGUGAGGGAGAUGCAGGGGAAGCUGCACACAAACCAAGUGCAGGAGGGUGAGGGGAGUGGCCCUGUGAGGGAGGGAGGUGCCUUCUCUCAGUGGGGUUUAACCAGCCUCCUGAAAAACAACAUCAAAACUGUGAUUAAAUUCCUAGAAACCUAG